rnacentral:rRNA from 1 species
GAGUUUGAUUCUGGCUCAGAACGAACGCUGGCGGCGCGUCUUAACCAUGCAAGUCGAGCGGCAGGCAGCAAUGCCGAGAGCGGCGGACUGGUGAGUAACACGUGGAUAACGAACCCCGAUGCCCGGGACAGCCUGUAGAAAUAGAGGGUAAUACCGGAUAGAUCACUGUUUACGGAAGGUAGACAGCGGGAAAGGAGCUUCGGCUCCGCGCCGGGAUCGGUCUGCGGCCCAUCAGCUGGACGGCGGGGUAAAGGCCCGCCGUGGCGAGGACGGGUAUCCGGCCUGAGAGGGCGGACGGACACAUUGGGACUGAGAUACGGCCCAGACUCCUACGGGAGGCAGCAGGUAAGAAUAUUCCGCAAUGGGGGGAACCCUGACGGAGCGACGCCGCGUGAACGAAGAAGGCCGGAAGGUUGUAAAGUUCUUUUCUGUCCGAGGAAUAAGUGUAGGAGGAAAUGCCUGCAUGGUGACGUAGGGCAGGAAUAAGCACCG